GCCGCAGUAGCCUAGACUGGUGGGGCGCGAGACUCAUAAUCUCGAAGUCGAGGGAUCGAAGCCCUCCUGCGGCACCA
rnacentral:tRNA from 1 species